UUUUAAGACAUAAGCUUAUAUAUGUAAUAAUAAUAAAGUUCAUGUUGGACAUGGUUUGAAAUCUGCACAAUUUUAAUUUUGACACUUUAGAUUAGUGCUUCCGCAUCUUUUUAUAUUAUUUUACCUUGUAGAAAAAGGUAAUGCACGUGUGUGAGUGAGAGGUCACGUUUGAAAUUUGAAUUUAUUUUGCACGAAGAACAAUCUCAUUUUUGGGUUUUGUCUCAUUGAAAAUAAAUGUGGGAUGGGAAGAAAUGAUGAAGUCCAGAAUCUCAUCAUCGUAGAGAGAGUUAUUUAACUAAUCAAUCAUAUUGGUUCUGAUAAAAAAUACAAGCACCAAAAAUAGUAGUUUUUGUUUACCAUCUAUGUUGGACCAAAGAACAAAAACAACCAAGUUGAGAUUAAAUUUAAAUGACAUAAUAGUUUCUCCUUCUAGUGGCAAAAUUUUUUUCAGGGUCAAUAUCUCCUCGAAAAGUAGGCUCCAUCUAUUUCAUUUGCAUACACCAACUAACAAAAAGCACAUUGAGAUUCUAUUUUGGACAUUCCCUGUAUAUUUGAUUUCAACUUUUGCCCAAAUCAUUUUAUUCCCUUUUUUCUCGCCUUGGAUAAAGCAACCGUAUAUAUACAAUGAAAUGACGUAAAUUGACUAAUUUUCAUUAUUGAAAAAACAACCUUGCAAUGAGUUGAGUAUAAAUUACAACAAGGAUGUGACCUUCAGCAUAUGGGCUAGUGUAGAACUAGCUUCCCCUCCCUCCCUAGCCAGAAAUUUCACAAACUUUUUUGUCAUCCUAAGACACUAAAAGAUGGAAAAAAACUAGGACUAAAGAAAACAUUUUUGAAUUUUAACCAUUUGAAUACCUCUAUAACACCAAUUAAUUUUUUUUUGUAAAAGGUCACUCAAAUUCUUUCUUUUAUUCUAAGCUUUAUAUGGUGCGGUGUGAAGCAUAGGCUUUCAGUUAUUACUGAAGAAAUGUAUGUAUGAAACAAAAGAAAUGCUAGAAUUACCGCGUGGAGUGGUCCUUUAGCUUCACGUGCAUAUGAGAGAUGAGGUAAACUCUAGAAUUACAAUGGAACACUAUUUCAUUUGCAUACACCAACUAACAAAAAGCACAUUGAGAUUCUAUUUUGGACAUUCCCUAUAUAUUUGAUUUCAACUUUUGCCCAAAUCAUUUUAUUCCCUUUUUUCUCGCCUUGGAUAAAGCAACCGUACAUAUACAAUGAAAUGACGUAAAUUGACUAAUUUUCAUUAUUGAAAAAACAACCUUGCAAUGAGUUGAGUAUAAAUUACAACAAGGAUGUGACCUUCAGCAUAUGGGCUAGUGUAGAACUAGCUUCCCCUCCCUCCCUAGCCAGAAAUUUCACAAACUUUUUUGUCAUCCUAAGACACUAAAAGAUGGAAAAAAACUAGGACUAAAGAAAACAUUUUUGAAUUUUAACCAUUUGAAUACCUCUAUAACACCAAUUAAUUUUUUUUUGUAAAAGGUCACUCAAAUUCUUUCUUUUAUUCUAAGCUUUAAAUGGUGCGGUGUGAAGCAUAGGCUUUCAGUUAUUACUGAAGAAAUGUAUGUAUGAAACAAAAGAAAUGCUAGAAUUACCGCGUGGAGUGGUCCUUUAGCUUCACGUGCAUAUGAGAGAUUAGGUAAACUCUAGAAUUACAAUGGAACACUAUUUCAUUUGCAUACACCAACUAACAAAAAGCACAUUGAGAUUCUAUUUUGGACAUUCCCUAUAUAUUUGAUUUCAACUUUUGCCCAAAUCAUUUUAUUCCCUUUUUUCUCGCCUUGGAUAAAGCAACCGUACAUAUACAAUGAAAUGACGUAAAUUGACUAAUUUUCAUUAUUGAAAAAACAACCUUGCAAUGAGUUGAGUAUAAAUUACAACAAGGAUGUGACCUUCAGCAUAUGGGCUAGUGUAGAACUAGCUUCCCCUCCCUCCCUAGCCAGAAAUUUCACAAACUUUUUUGUCAUCCUAAGACACUAAAAGAUGGAAAAAAACUAGGACUAAAGAAAACAUUUUUGAAUUUUAACCAUUUGAAUACCUCUAUAACACCAAUUAAUUUUUUUUUGUAAAAGGUCACUCAAAUUCUUUCUUUUAUUCUAAGCUUUAAAUGGUGCGGUGUGAAGCAUAGGCUUUCAGUUAUUACUGAAGAAAUGUAUGUAUGAAACAAAAGAAAUGCUAGAAUUACCGCGUGGAGUGGUCCUUUAGCUUCACGUGCAUAUGAGAGAUUAGGUAAACUCUAGAAUUACAAUGGAACACUAUUUCAUUUGCAUACACCAACUAACAAAAAGCACAUUGAGAUUCUAUUUUGGACAUUCCCUAUAUAUUUGAUUUCAACUUUUGCCCAAAUCAUUUUAUUCCCUUUUUUCUCGCCUUGGAUAAAGCAACCGUACAUAUACAAUGAAAUGACGUAAAUUGACUAAUUUUCAUUAUUGAAAAAACAACCUUGCAAUGAGUUGAGUAUAAAUUACAACAAGGAUGUGACCUUCAGCAUAUGGGCUAGUGUAGAACUAGCUUCCCCUCCCUCCCUAGCCAGAAAUUUCACAAACUUUUUUGUCAUCCUAAGACACUAAAAGAUGGAAAAAAACUAGGACUAAAGAAAACAUUUUUGAAUUUUAACCAUUUGAAUACCUCUAUAACACCAAUUAAUUUUUUUUUGUAAAAGGUCACUCAAAUUCUUUCUUUUAUUCUAAGCUUUAAAUGGUGCGGUGUGAAGCAUAGGCUUUCAGUUAUUACUGAAGAAAUGUAUGUAUGAAACAAAAGAAAUGCUAGAAUUACCGCGUGGAGUGGUCCUUUAGCUUCACGUGCAUAUGAGAGAUUAGGUAAACUCUAGAAUUACAAUGGAACACUAUUUCAUUUGCAUACACCAACUAACAAAAAGCACAUUGAGAUUCUAUUUUGGACAUUCCCUAUAUAUUUGAUUUCAACUUUUGCCCAAAUCAUUUUAUUCCCUUUUUUCUCGCCUUGGAUAAAGCAACCGUACAUAUACAAUGAAAUGACGUAAAUUGACUAAUUUUCAUUAUUGAAAAAACAACCUUGCAAUGAGUUGAGUAUAAAUUACAACAAGGAUGUGACCUUCAGCAUAUGGGCUAGUGUAGAACUAGCUUCCCCUCCCUCCCUAGCCAGAAAUUUCACAAACUUUUUUGUCAUCCUAAGACACUAAAAGAUGGAAAAAAACUAGGACUAAAGAAAACAUUUUUGAAUUUUAACCAUCUGAAUACCUCUAUAACACCAAUUAAAUUUUUUUUUGUAAAAGGUCACUCAAAUUCUUUCUUUUAUUCUAAGCUUUAAAUGGUGCGGUGUGAAGCAUAGGCUUUCAGUUAUUACUGAAGAAAUGUAUGUAUGAAACAAAAGAAAUGCUAGAAUUACCGCGUGGAGUGGUCCUUUAGCUUCACGUGCAUAUGAGAGAUGAGGUAAACUCUAGAAUUACAAUGGAACACUAUUAAAAGUACUUGAGGACAGCAACGAUAGUACCAAAUGAGUGUCACAACAAUGCGGCCAAAUUUCGGUGAAGUUCCUUCUUCUGGAAAAGGAAAAGGAAGUAAGUAUAUUUAGGUAAAUCUUAAUUCUAGUUAACAGAAUAACAAAAUGAUACUCAAUUAAAAAUGUUUAAGUAAACCUCUAAAGUGAGAAGAAUAAAAACCUUGAAAAGCUCUAGAAGAGCAUUUUCACGAAGAUUAGGGUUGCAGAGAAAAAACACAAGUUGUUCCGCAGAUUGCAUUUUGUGACCCUUAUGGGUGGGGCUCUGACGCUGAAAGACAAUGAUGACAUACCACCUCCUCCUCUGAAGCUGCUGACACCGAUGGAGAAAGAUUGAGGUAAGUUUGCCAUUCUAAAGCCUCAAUUGAAUAUUUUAUCUUUUUCGUCCUUUCACUUACCCUAGUUGAUUUUCUCAUUUUUCUUUUGUUACCUGACUGUACAAAGACAAAAUUCACAGUUGGAUUAUUUUGAUAAAUAAAAUUCACCAUUUUGUUUAAAAUCGCAGCACCAUCAAUUCACCAUUUUAUUUAAAAUAUCUAAUUCAUCGUUCAUUGAUGUUGCCACAAUUUUAAAUAAAAUGGUGAAUUAUAUUUAUUAAAAUAAUUCAACGAUGAAUUUUAUCUUUUUCAGUUCGGGAAAAAAUAAAAAGGAGAGAAAAUAAAGUUGGGUAAAUGAAAGGACAAAAAAGAUAAAAACAUUCAAUUGAGGCUUUAGAAUGACAAACUUACCUCGAGCUUUCUCCGUCGGUGUCGGCAGCUUCGGAGGAGAAGGUGGUAUGUCAUCAUUGUCUUCGAGCGCCGGAGCACCCCUAAUAAGGAUAGCAGAAUGCUAUCCAUUGAACAACUUGUGUUUGUUCUUUAUGAUCCUAAUCUUCGUUAAAACGCUCUUCUAAAGCUUUUCAAGGCUUAUUCUUCUUACUUUAGAGAUUUACUUUGACAUUUUAGAUUGAGUAUAAUUUUGUCGUUUUGCUAAAUAGAAUUAAGAUUUAUCUAAAUAUAUUUAUUACCUUUGUUUUCCUUCUCCAGAAAAAAGAAUUGUUUCCGGAUUUGACCCCCUUGUUAUGACACUCAUUUGGUACUAUCGCUGCACUUCUACAUGUAUUUUGGGUAGUGUUACAUUGUAAUUCUAGAAUUUAUCUCAUCUGUCAUAUGCACAUGAAACUAAAGUACCACCCCACUGGUAUCUACUCUACACCAUUAAAAGUUAAGAAUAAAAUGAAACAUUUAAAUGACCUAUAUAGCAAAGCUAUCAAGACAACAUCUUCAUGGUUUUUCGAUUGGGGUUACUGUGAAUUUCAAAUGCUUAAAGUUGGAAAUAUCUCCUCGAGUCCUAGCUUUCACUCCUUAACCUCUUGUAGACUCUUAGGAUGAUUAAAGAGCAAGGGCGGAGCCACCUUGUCCCUAGGGUGUCUAAUUGGACACCAUUCGUCGAAAAUUAUAUGAUAUAUACACGUAAAGUUUUGACUUAUAUUGCAUAUAUGGUAUCUUGAAUCCCCUGAAAUAACAAAGUAACCCGCAAUGGAGAUGAUUGGAGCUGUCACAAGCCCACUCGCUGUCCUAGUUCGAUUCCCCAUGUAACACACCUAAGAUACUAGACCAUUAAUUACAUAUCCAUACAUUAUUAUAAUAUGUUUCAUUCUCAUUUUGGGGACUUGAAAUUUUGUGAUACUUGAAAACUUGCUUAAAAUAAAUUGUUUUUGUAAUUUAGCGUAUUGUAUGGGGGUAUUUGCGUAAUUUUCAAAUUAUAUUUACACAUAUAUUGGAGGUGUGGGUAUAAGGUAUAUAAAAAUGAAUAUAUAUAUAUGAUUUCUAGGCAGCCAACUAUUUUUAGGGGCAGCCCCUUUUGUUGACGUGUGUAGAGGUGAUGAGGAUCGUUUUGUAUCUAUAUAUUUUACACCUCCUUUGGUUGAUUUCGUUUUCCUGAAGUAUAAUAACAUUAAAACAUUAGCUAAACAGUUAUUCUGCAAAACCAAGAGAAAAACAAGCUCCUUUUGGGUGAAUUGGACACACAACUUUUGGUUGUAUAUACUCGUGAACAAGUUGAGGAUCUUCAUACGUUGGCUGGUCUAUGGUUUGAACUCUUGAAGUCGUGCUUGACUGUUUCUGUGCUAAAUCGUUGAGUCUGUAGCCUCUCAUCCUGACACCAGACAGUCGUUCCUCAAUGGUAGAUAACACUGAAGUUAUCAGUUUUCUUGUUUCUGCGGUGCUUGUGCACGAUGGAGAUGGGGAGUGAACUUUGAAAAGCAGUUGUGCCUUCCAUUGUGCAAAAAAUCCUUGUAGAUGAUUUGAGUCUGAAUUACAUCUGUACCACAUGGGAUAGGUUUUUUUGAAGUGGCUCAAAUUUUAGGGAAUAUGGUCGGUGCAGUUGCUGAGCAACCUUCAUCAACAUAAUCAGGUGCUAUAUGAGCCAAGGUUAAUUUUCUGUUUAUCACCAUCCCGAUUUUUCUUUCAGCUUGCUUAUGUGUGAUAAAUCACAGCCCUUUUUAAUUUGAUCUUUCUGUUUCUGUGAGGCUUAUGGCAGGGCAGUUGUCUUCGUGUAUGUAAUUAAUAUUUGGCCAUAUAAGUAGCAGCUCCCUCCUGAAUCAUGAAUUAUUCUUUUCUCGGCAUCAGACCCUUGUGGUUUUGUUAUCAGGAGGAUAUGAUAACGAGAAGGUGGCUGCAACAAUUGCUCCUUAACGUAAUGGAAAUCGGGUUGCUCUACUAGCAGGAACAUUUGAUUUCAGACCCGGAAAUCUUGUUUUUUCUACUUUGAUUAAGGAACAUAACAUAUUUUCCUGAUCUUUAAGACACUUGUUUUUAUUUACCAUAAAUUUAUCAAAAUAUUUGAUCAACUAAGCGAUUAUUGUAGAAUAUUUUUUAUUCAUACAAGACACAUUCAAAUCUAUGUCCCUUCAACGAA